rnacentral:sRNA from 1 species
ACUCAACGCUAAUUUAAUUCGAAGAGGUGAGUUUUGAGUGCUAAAGCAUGCCGCAUUUGCGGACCCUUGAACACUCAGGUAGCCUCAAACCUGUUUAUUUCGAGUUU